rnacentral:rRNA from 1 species
UUCGGGAUGUGCAAGCGUUGUUCGGAAUCACUGGGCAUAAAGGGUGCGUAGGCGGUUCGGUAAGUCAUGCGUGAAAGCCCCCGGCCCAACCGGGGAACUGCGCCUGAUACUGUCGGACUUGAGGCCGAAAGAGGCAAGCAGAAUUACAGGUGUAGCGGUGGAAUGCGUAGAUAUCUGUGAGAAUGCCAAAGGCGAAGGCAGCUUGCUGGGUCGGUUCUGACGCUGAGGUACGAAAGCUAGGGGAGCGAACAGGAUUAGAUACCCUGGUAGUCCUAGCUGUAAACGAUGGGCACUUUGUUUCGGGGGACCUGAUUCCCUCGGAGCCGGAGCUAAUGCGUUAAGUGCCCCGCCUGGGGAGUAUGGUCGCAAGGCUAAAACUCAAAGGAAUUGACGGGGGCUCACACAAGCGGUGGAGCAUGUUGUUCAAUUCGAAGCAACGCGAAGAACCUUACCUGGGCUUGACAUGCUAGUGGUACGGACCCGAAAGGGCGAGGACUCCUUAACCGGAGAGCUAGCACAGGUGCUGCAUGGCUGUCGUCAGCUCGUGUCGUGAGACGUUGGGUUAAGUCCCGUAACGAGCGAAACCCUUGUCGCAUGUUGCUAGCCGGGUAAUGCCGGGCACUCUUGCGAGACUGCCGGUGCCAAACCGGAGGAAGGUGGGGACGACGUCAAGUCAUCAUGGUCCUUACGUCCAGGGCUACAAACGUGCUACAAUGGCGGGUACAGAGAGAAGCAAUACCGCUGAGGUGGAGCAAAUNUUCAAAACCCGCCCCAGUUCGGAUUGGAGGUCUGCAAUUCGCCUCCAUGAAGUCGGAAUCGCAUAGUAAUCGCGGAUCAGCAAUGCCGCGGUGAAUACGUUCACNGAGCC